rnacentral:rRNA from 1 species
AGAACGAACGCUGGCGGCGGGGUUUAGGCAUGCAAGUCGAGCGAGAAAGCCGCAAGGCAAGUACAGCGGCGUAAGGGUGAGUAAUGGUUAGUCAACGUACCGAGCAGACGCGAAUAAUUUCCCGAAAGGGGCUGUAAUGCGCGAUGAGACCACGCCUUCCACGGGAGGAGCGGUCAAAGGUCGGGGAUCCUUCGGGACCUGGCGCUGUUUGAGCGGACUAACUCUGAUUAGCUAGUUGGCGGGUAACGGCCCACCAAGGCGAUGAUC